rnacentral:rRNA from 1 species
AUUGGCCAUGUUGGGGGUCUUACACAUGCAAGUCGAACGAACCUUCGGGUUAGUGGCGGACGGGUGAGUAACGCGUGGGAAUCUGCCCUCAGGAGGGGGAUAACGGCUGGAAACGGCCGCUAAUACCCCAUAUGCCGAGAGGUGAAAUGAAUUUCGCCUGAGGAUGAGCCCGCGUCUGAUUAGCUAGUUGGUGAGGUAAGAGCUCACCAAGGCAUCGAUCAGUAGCUGGUCUGGGAGGAUGAUCAGCCACACUGGGACUGAGACACGGCCCAGACUCCUACGGGAGGCAGCAGUGGGGAAUUUUCCGCAAUGGGCGAAAGCCUGACGGAGCAACGCCGCGUGAGGGAUGAAGGCCUCUGGGCUGUAAACCUCUUUUCUCAAGGAAGAAGAUCUGACGGUACUUGAGGAAUAAGCCACGGCUAAUUCCGUGCCAGCAGCCGCGGUAAUACGGGAGUGGCAAGCGUUAUCCGGAAUUAUUGGGCGUAAAGCGUCCGCAGGCGGCCCUUCAAGUCUGCUGUUAAAAAGUGGAGCUUAACUCCAUCAUGGCAGUGGAAACUGUUGGGCUUGAGUGUGGUAGGGGCAGAGGGAGUUCCCGGUGUAGCGGUGAAAUGCGUAGAUAUCGGGAAGAACACCAGUGGCGAAGGCGCUCUGCUGGGCCAUAACUGACGCUCAUGGACGAAAGCCAGGGGAGCGAAAGGGAUUAGAUACCCCUGUAGUCCUGGCCGUAAACGAUGAACACUAGGUGUCGGGGGAAUCGACCCCCUCGGUGUCGUAGCCAACGCGUUAAGUGUUCCGCCUGGGGAGUACGCACGCAAGUGUGAAACUCAAAGGAAUUGACGGGGGCCCGCACAAGCGGUGGAGUAUGUGGUUUAAUUCGAUGCAACGCGAAGAACCUUACCAGGGUUUGACAUCCUGCGAACCUCUUGGAAACGAGAGGGUGCCUUCGGGAACGCAGUGACAGGUGGUGCAUGGCUGUCGUCAGCUCGUGUCGUGAGAUGUUGGUUAAGUCCCGCAACGAGCGCAACCCACGUCUUUAGGUGCCAGCAUUUAGUUGGGCACUUCUAGAGAAGACCGCG